rnacentral:rRNA from 1 species
UACGUAGGGUCCAAGCGUUAUCCGGAAUUACUGGGCGUAAAGCGUGCGUAGGCGGUCCGCGAAGUCUGAUGUGAAAGCCCCGGGCUCAACCUGGGAACUGCAUUGGAAACUAACGGGCUCGAGUGUGGCAGAGGGGGGUGGAAUUCCACGUGUAGCAGUGAAAUGCGUAGAGAUGUGGAGGAACACCGAUGGCGAAGGCAGCCCCCUGGGCUAACACUGACGCUCAGGCACGAAAGCGUGGGGAGCAAACAGG